UUUCCGUAGGUGAACCUGCGGAAGGAUCAUUAAUAAUUACUGCUUUUCGUGCUGCCGUGCGCAGUAGCAAUUCUGUGUGCAUCACUGGCACGUUCACAUCCGAUCCAUGCGCAUUAUCGUCUGCUUGUUAUUUUUUCUAUUCGUCUGCUUGUAACGUUUGCAACUUUAAACAAAACUUUUAACAAUGGAUCUCUUGGUUCUG
rnacentral:misc_RNA from 1 species